CUUGCGUGGAUUAGUAUAUUCAUACUUUCUCUUCCUUCUUUUUUACCUUUCCUCCAUCUCCAACCCCUUUCCUCUAUAUUUGCCCCACCCAUAACGAAAAACACCGAAAAAAUGGAUUAGUAAUUCUCUAUUCAAUCUCUACUAGAUCUGAGCUCUUCCAAAAUUCUAGAAUUAAAGUAAUCAAAGAAGAAGAGAUUUUGGGAGUGAAUUCUAGAGAGAGAAAGAGAGGAAAUGAGAGUAUUUGUGUGUUUUGGAAGGGGGAGUUUGGUCAGUUAGUUUACAACUUCAACGUGGGGUUUAUCCUGUGCAGUCGUACGGCGUACCAUUCCAUUUAAAUUUUGAAUAGUUGUAUGCCGCGACCAGAUUGAAAAACAACCCCGUUUUCGGUGUUUUUCAGAUCUUUGGCGGUGUUGGUUCGAUCUUGUUCUGGUCGCCGGAUUCUGGGUUCAAUUGAUGAGCUCUGUUCUGGCUCCGGUGCUUUAGAUCAGAGGUUAUAUCCUGUCGAUCCGUGUGCUUGUGCAAACUGGGUUUUAUGUUUUAAUUUGUUUGUCUUUGUCAUGACUAGAUUUGGGAGUCUUGUGUUGAUUUAUUGUGGUUCUAUUACAUUUCCCCUUCAAUAAUCAGUUUAGGUGUUCUUAUUUGAUUUGUUUGUUUUUCGUUCAAAUAGAUUUUAUCAUUCUGGUGUAAUAAUCGGUGUUUAUUAUCGAAAAUCAUUUCUUGAUUUGAUCUUUGAUUGUUUGGGUUGAUUGGCUGGAUUCAGGUGAUUAAUUGUUAUGUUCUUCUAUCUCCUCUUUGUUUCUGGGUGUGGUAGUUGUUAAUGCUAUUAUGGAUCUGGGCUAAUUUUGUCGCGGGCAGCCAUGAUGGCUCAUUGUUCUUACGUGGAUUACUAUAUUAAUAACAUCUCCAUAAUUCGACCCCUGUGAUGCAACCUCACUCUGCCCCAUACUGGAAUAACAACAAUCACCGGCGAACUGCAGUAGCGACCAGCCGGAAAGACGCCCAAACAGAUGGAAAUAGUUGAACAUGUCAUUUUCUUUUCUUUUCCCUUUUUCUUUUACCAGCCACAUAGGAAAAAAACAUGAAAUAGUUUAACUGACGUUAAUUUAAUUUAACAGAAUGACUCAAUUGCUUUUUUUUAAUUAGUUUACGGGUGUAAUUCAAAAAAUUAAAAGUUCGGUGAUGUAAUAAAUAAAAGCUGCCAACUAUAGUGGCGAAAUCAUUAGUUUUGCCAAUUAGAAAUUGUUGUUUGAAUGAUAUUGUAUUAAUGCGAUAUUAUAAGUUUGAACAAAAUUUUAAUAAUAUUUUGCAGG
rnacentral:lncRNA from 1 species